rnacentral:rRNA from 1 species
CACGUAGGGUGCGAGCGUUGUCCGGAAUUAUUGGGCGUAAAGAGCUCGUAGGCGGUGUGUCGCGUCGGCCGUGAAAACCUGCAGCUUAACUGUGGGCUUGCGGUCGAUACGGGCAUCACUGGAGUUCGGCAGGGGAGACUGGAAUUCCUGGUGUAGCGGUGAAAUGCGCAGAUAUCAGGAGGAACACCGGUGGCGAAGGCGGCGACCUGGUCCGAUACUGACGCUGAGGCGCGAAAGCGUGGGGAGCAAACAGG